GGGAUUGUGGCUCAGUGGUAGAGUGCUCACCUAGAACGUAUGAGGCCCUGGGUUCAAUCCACAGCACCA
rnacentral:tRNA from 1 species